ACAUGCCUACAAAAUAGCAUUAAUGCACUAGAUCCCAUUAGAACUCCACAGUUAAGCACGCUUGGGAUAUAGUAGUACUGGGAUGGAUGACUGCCCGAGAAGUCCUGGUGUUUUACAUGCC
rnacentral:rRNA from 1 species